GUAUGUGUAUCUGUGUGUGUAAGUGCAUGAGUAUGAUAUUUCAACACACACACACACACACACACACAUACACACACACACACACGUAUAUAU
rnacentral:miRNA from 1 species